rnacentral:lncRNA from 13 species
AUGGUCUAUUGGUUUCUCUCUAGAGCUAACUUUCAUCAAGGUUUUACAUGUCAACUAACAGAACUGUCUACUGUGGUGGAAAUAUACAAGUCUAUCUUCCUGUCAACAAACAGAACUCUGCUGGUUGUCCAGGUAACAGAUACCAGUCUAUCUUCCUGUAAACAAACAGAACUCUGCUGGUUGUCCGGGUAACAGAUACCAGUCUAUCUUCCUGUCAACUAACAUAACUCUGCUGGUUGUCCUGGUAACAGAUUCCAGUGGGCAGAUCUAUUUAAUUUGUUCAAACUAAAUUACAGCACUUACUUUGAUGUGUCAAAUCUGAUCCUUUCUUCUCUUGUCGUCCUCUCACAGUUCCACUCAGCCCCGUUGUUUUCCUGCAGUCCACCAGCAGCACAGACAACCUCUUCAUACCCAGCAUUAAGGAGCUACCAGGAGAGGCACGACACAGGGACUCCGGGAGGGAGGAAGGGCUAGCGUUGUCCUGGUAACCACAAAGAGGGGACACAGACACAUAUCAUUAUGGAUGCUGAUGUCACUGUUGUCAUAAACUGCUUUACAGAAACACAGCCCAGACCCAGAUAGAGCAAGCUGUAUGCUAGACCAGGCCAAGCUGUAUGCUAGACCAGACAGACCAAGCUGUAUGCUAGACCAGACCAAGCUGUACCAUCUGGUGUUCUGAUCUGGAGAGACUCUUCUCUGCCUCGUCAGCAUCAGGAUGUUGUUGAGGCUCCCCAGAGGAUCCAGGAUCGUCAUGUCUCUCUCCUGUGUGAAUGACAACAUCAAACAGACAGUCAACCUAUGAUCUUCUAUUGCGAUCAUAGGGUCUUACCAGAGCCAUUAAUAUGUCUAAAAAGGGCCUAAAUUUAUGCCUUUAAAAAAAAAUACUGUUUGUGAUGCAAGUGUAAAAGGGUCGUUCCAUGAAAUGGGUGGCUUUUACAUCCCUUUGAUAUUUUAAGUAGAAAUUAUGCACCAGAAUUGGAUUGUAGAAUCCUGUUAUACAAGAUGAAGUGAGCUUUAAUAUAGACCACAUGGAGAAUAAAAUACAUCUAAUUUGAAAAUAUAUAUGUACCAAUGGCAGUACUGAACAACAUAUUCAAGUGUAGAACUUCAGUAGAAUGCCACUUUAAAACCACACAUUAGUUCAACAACGGCAUAGUUUGUGUCCCUGUUUUUAAGACAGUACUCACGGAUGGAAAUCGGAUAUUCUGACUCCUCCUCCCUUUUCACUCCUAAAACANNNNNNNNNNCAGAGGAUCCAGGAUCGUCAUGUCUCUCUCCUGUGUGAAUGACAACAUCAAACAGACAGUCAACCUAUGAUCUUCUAUUGCGAUCAUAGGGUCUUACCAGAGCCAUUAAUAUGUCUAAAAAGGGCCUAAAUUUAUGCCUUUAAAAAAAAAUACUGUUUGUGAUGCAAGUGUAAAAGGGUCGUUCCAUGAAAUGGGUGGCUUUUACAUCCCUUUGAUAUUUUAAGUAGAAAUUAUGCACCAGAAUUGGAUUGUAGAAUCCUGUUAUACAAGAUGAAGU